CCAGGAUCUGAAGAACAAAUCAUUGUAAUGAAUACCAAAGGACAGGAACUAGCAAAUGAGCAGAAUGUAUGCAGAAAUCCUGAACCGAUCACCAGGAAACAUUAUUCUGGAACCUGAGAAUGAGAACAGGUAAUCAGGAACCAGGAACAAGGAAUGGAACUUCUACUCAUACUGGAAACCAGGAACAACCAACCGGUUACAAGAAUUAUGGUUCUUCAUAUGCAUCGU